rnacentral:tRNA from 1 species
GGCCUUGUAGUUCAGUGGCAGAACGCAUCUUUGACGAUGUAAGGAAAAUCCUAAUACAUCAAACUGGAUGAGAUCCAAGGUUCGAUCCCUUGCAGGGCCA